rnacentral:rRNA from 1 species
GACGAACGCUGGCGGCGGGCUUAACACAUGCAAGUCGAACGGAAAGGCCCUGCUUUUGUGGGGUGCUCGAGUGGCGAACGGGUGAGUAACACGUGAGUAACCUGCCCUUGACUUUGGGAUAACUUCAGGAAACUGGGGCUAAUACCGGAUAGGAGCUCCUGCUGCAUGGUGGGGGUUGGAAAGUUUCGGCGGUUGGGGAUGGACUCGCGGCUUAUCAGCUUGUUGGUGGGGUAGUGGCUUACCAAGGCUUUGACGGGUAGCCGGCCUGAGAGGGUGACCAGCCACAUUGCGACUGAGAUACGGCCCAGACUCCUACGGGAGGCAGCAGUGGGGAAUAUUGCACAAUGGGCGGAAGCCUGAUGCAGCAGCGCCGCGUGCGGGAUGACGGCCUUCGGGUUGUAAACCGCUUUCGCCUGUGACGAAGCGUGAGUGACGGUAAUGGGUAAAGAAGCACCGGCUAACUACGUG